rnacentral:rRNA from 1 species
UACGUAGGGUGCGAGCGUUAAUCGGAAUUACUGGGCGUAAAGCGUGCGCAGGCGGUUUUGUAAGCCAGAUGUGAAAUCCCCGGGCUUAACCUGGGAAUGGCAUUUGGGACUGCAAGGCUUGAGUGUGGCAGAGGGGACUGGAAUUCCUGGUGCAGCAGUGAAAUGCGUAGAGAUCAGGAGGAAUACCGAUGGCGAAGGCAGGUCCCUGGGCUGACACUGACGCUCAUGCACGAAAGCGUGGGGAGCAAACAGG